GAUGAACGCUGGCGGCGUGCCUAAUACAUGCAAGUCGAGCGAAUGGAUUAAGAGCUUGCUCUUAUGAAGUUAGCGGCGGACGGGUGAGUAACACAUGGGUAACCUGCCCAUAAGACUGGGAUAACUCCGGGAAACCGGGGCUAAUACCGGAUAAUAUUUUGAACUGCAUGGUUCAAAAUUGAAAGGCGGCUUCGGCUGUCACUUAUGGAUGGACCCGCGUCGCAUUAGCUAGUUGGUGAGGUAACGGCUCACCAAGGCAACGAUGCGUAGCCGACCUGAGAGGGUGAUCGGCCACCCUGGGACUGAGACACGGCCCAGACUCCUACGGGAGGCAGCAGUAGGGAAUCUUCCGCAAUGGACGAAAGUCUGACGGAGCAACGCCGCGUGAGUGAUGAAGGCUUUCGGGUCGUAAAACUCUGUUGUUAGGGAAGAACAAGUGCUAGUUGAAUAAGCUGACACCUUGACGGUACCUAACCAGAAAGCCACGGCUAACUACGUGCCAGCCGCCGCCGUAA
rnacentral:rRNA from 1 species